rnacentral:rRNA from 1 species
UACGUAGGGUGCAAGCGUUGUCCGGAAUUAUUGGGCGUAAAGAGCUCGUAGGCGGCUCGUCACGUCGGCUGUGAAAACCCGGGGCUCAACCCCGGGCCUGCAGUCGAUACGGGCAAGCUAGAGUUCGGCAGGGGAGACUGGAAUUCCUGGUGUAGCGGUGAAAUGCGCAGAUAUCAGGAAGAACACCCGUGGCGAAGGCGGCUCUCUGGGCCGAUACUGACGCUGAGGAGCGAAAGCGUGGGGAGCGAACAGG